rnacentral:rRNA from 1 species
UACGAAGGGGCUAGCGUUGCUCGGAAUCACUGGGCGUAAAGCGCACGUAGGCGGACUUUUAAGUCAGGGUGAAAUCCUGGAGCUCAACUCCAGAACUGCCUUUGAUACUGGAAGUCUUGAGUCCGGAAGAGGUAAGUGGAACUGCGAGUGUAGAGGUGAAAUUCGUAGAUAUUCGCAAGAACACCAGUGGCGAAGGCGGCUUACUGGUCCGGUACUGACGCUGAGGUGCGAAAGCGUGGGGAGCAAACAGGG